rnacentral:lncRNA from 13 species
GGUUAAGGUUUAAAAUCUGAUUUUAAGAAGAGGGGUUUAGCCACAAUUAUGACUGUGGUUGUGUUAACUAGUGACAUCCCCACUACUGCCUAGUGCAGUAUACAGUAUUUUAUUUUAAAUACUGCAUAGCAAAUUAUGUUAUGGAAACUCAUAUCAGACUGAAACAACACACAUCAAAAGGUUUGGGGCUGGACCAUGAGAAGGUUCUGGGCUGGACCAUGAGAAGGUUCAGGGCUGGACCAUGAGAAGGUUCUGGGCUGGACCAUGAGAAGGUUCGGGGCUGGACCAUGAGAAGGUUUGGGGCUGGACCACUUGCUUAUGGUGCCACAAUGCGCUGGACAACAGUCCAUAGCGCUCUGUUGUUCAUGACAGCUGGUAGGUCCUCUGUUCUGAGGCCAGGGUCUCAACAGAUGUCCACGAAGGUUACGUCUGGCCUUCCAGGUCUUCACCUGUGAGAUGGUAGCAAGUACCCACAGCGUGAGACCGAUGCCUGGCCGCCGGCUCAGGGUGUCUGAAACAGUGACCAACACACACACACACACACACACACACACACACACACACACACGGGAACAAAAACACACCAAAGCACACUAAACUUUACAAAUGUAAUAGAAGUGUUUAUUAAAUGUAAGACUUGGAAGAAGUCACCAUAUUUCAAUGCACUUCAUGGGACGAAGUGCAUUCAUCAUAUAUUUAUAUAUAUAUGUACCACCAACCCAAAACUGAUUGAUUUCGGCAUUAAACAUAAAUAAAACAAAAUAAACAUAUUUACAUCAUUACCAGAUCAUAUGAACAGAUAGAUUUAACUACAGGUCAAAGGUUAGGGGUCAAGGGAGAGGUCAGAGGUGCAGAACCAGACAUCCAGGGAAAGAAGAGAGAAGAGAAGAGGAGAGGAGAGAAGAAGAGAGGAGAGAAGAAGAGGAGAGAAGNNNNNNNNNNGCCUACCUGGUUAAAUAUAAGGUGGGAAAACCAAACAUACGGAGCGUUUUCCGUGAAUGUGGUCUACGCAAACAUGGGAAUAUUGCCUUUAAAACGUGCAGAGAGGACCCAAACGUGAUCGGACUGAAUCUGGCCCCUAUAGGUGACAGUCAACUUAGAAAUACAACCACUCUCACUUCUAUUUCUUAGAUAGAAAGAACCAUGUCUAUGACACAGUAUCCUCCGGGAGACCAGAUCACAUUCAGCUAGCGAUCAAGUGCAGCUAUCCUCUCUC